rnacentral:rRNA from 1 species
GAGAUGCUUAUGGAGGACUCUGACGCAGCGACGCCGCGUGAGCGAUGAAGGUCUUCGGAUCGUAAAGCUCUGUCCUUGGGGAAGAAGGUGUUCGUACUUGACGGUGCCCGCCCCGGUAGCCCCGGGCCACUACCCGCCGGCAUAAACGGUCAUAGUAAUAA